GCCUGGUAGCGGGGGAUAACUAUUGGAAACGAUAGCUAAUACCGCAUAACAGUAGAUAUCGCAUGAUAGCUGCUUGAAAGGUGCAAAUGCACCACUACCAGAUGGACCUGCGUUGUAUUAGCUAGUUGGUGAGGUAACGGCUCACCAAGGCAACGAUACAUAGCCGACCUGAGAGGGUGAUCGGCCACACUGGGACUGAGACACGGCCCAG
rnacentral:rRNA from 1 species